rnacentral:rRNA from 1 species
AGAGUUUGAUCCUGGCUCAGAACUAACGCUGGCGGCGUGCCUAACACAUGCAAGUCGUACGAGAAAGUUGGCUUCGGCCGAUGAGUAAAGUGGCGCACGGGUGAGUAACGCGUGGAUAAUCUACCUUUUAGUUUGGAAUAACGUACCGAAAGGUGCGCUAAUACCGGAUAAUGCUGCACAACUACUGUUGUGUCGUCAAAGAAGGCUUCUGUUUACAUGCUUUUGCUGAAAGAUGAGUCCGCGUACCAUUAGCUAGUUGGUAGGGUAAUGGCCUACCAAGGCUACGAUGGUUAGCUGGUCUGAGAGGAUGAUCAGCCACACUGGAACUGAGACACGGUCCAGACUCCUACGGGAGGCAGCAGUGAGGAAUAUUGCGCAAUGGGGGCAACCCUGACGCAGCAACGCCGCGUGAGUGAGGAAGGUUUUCGGACCGUAAAGCUCUGUCGAGCGGGAAGAAAUGCAUGGUGGCUAAUAUCCAUCAUGCUUGACGGUACCGCUAAAGGAAGCACCGGCUAACUCCGUGCCAGCAGCCGCGGUAAUACGGGGGGUGCAAGCGUUGUUCGGAAUUAUUGGGCGUAAAGAGCGUGUAGGCGGCUGAAUAAGUCAGAUGUGAAAUCCCUGGGCUUAACCCAGGACGUGCAUUUGAAACUAUUCAGCUUGAGUAGGGGAGAGGAAAGUGGAAUUCCUGGUGUAGAGGUGAAAUUCGUAGAUAUCA